AUCCUGGCUCAGGAUGAACGCUAGCGGCAGGCUUAAUACAUGCAAGUCGAGGGCGGUAGCAAUACCGACCGGCGAACGGGUGCGUAACACGUGAGCAACCUACCUCGUUGCGGGGGAUAGCCGGCCCAACGGCCGGGUAAUACCGCAUACGCUUCUCUGGAGGAGUCUCUGGAGAAAGAAACCCUUUGGGGGCAAUGAGAGGGGCUCGCGGCCUAUCAGCUAGUUGGCGAGGUAACGGCUCACCAAGGCGAUGACGGGUAGCUGGUCUGAGAGGAUGGCCAGCCACAUUGGGACUGAGAGACGGCCCAGACUCCUACGGGAGGCAGCAGAUCU
rnacentral:rRNA from 1 species